GCUUGUAUUCGUAGCAAGCCUCGUACCAUUCCGAUAAAAAAUUGACGAUUAUGCGAGAGAGACGAAAUGAUUUAGCGUGAUCGAUGUCUCCAGCGAAGAUUUAGAUCUACGCGAGUGCCCAAGAGUGGCCGCAAAGUAUUCCCGAAUCAUCGUUAAUCAAUCAUGGCUGAAGACUGCUGUUCGACGUUUCAUCGGAUACGUAAUUUAACCUUAAUCAACAUUUUCGCCUGAAACCAUAUUUCACUGUUCACGAGAGGUUUGAGCAAUUCCGUGGGCUAAAAUAUAUUCGUUGAGAACGACAGGAUUCGACUCAGACAUUCGAGAAGAUUUAAUUUAAAAAAUACACUUUAUGUAUAUUUACAACUUCAUUA